CUGCUAUCGGAUUGAGAUUUAGCCAUGCGAGUCGAACGUCCCCCUGUUGCGGGGGGCGUGGCGUACGGCUCAGUAACACGUAGUCAACCUGCCCUGGAGACGUGGAUAACCCCGGGAAACUGGGAUUAAUCCGUGAUAGGUCAUCUCAUCUGGAAGGAGAGAUGGCUUAAAGGGGUGCGCGGGCUUCUUCCGUGCAUUUGCUCCAGGAUGGGACUGCGUCCGAUCAGGCUGUUGGCGGGGUAAUGGCCCACCAAACCUGUAACCGGUACGGGCCUUGAGAGAGGUGGCCCGGAGAUGGACACUGAGAGAAGGGUCCAGGUCCUACGGGGCGCAGCAGGCGCGAAACCUUCGCAAUGCGCGAAAGCGUGACGAGGUUAAUCCGAGUGACUUCCGCUGAGGAGGUCUUUUGUCAGCUGUAAAUAGGCAGGCGAAUAAGGGGAGGGCAAGCCUGGUGUCAGCCGCCGCGGUAAUACCAGCUCCUCGAGUGGUCGGGGCGAUUAUUGGGCCUAAAGCAUCCGUAGCCGGUUCCGUAGAUCCUCUGUUAAAUCCAUCAGCUCAACUGAUGACCUGCAGAGGAUACCGCGGGACUAGGAGGCGGGAGAGGCGGACGGUACUCCGCGUGUAGGGGUAAAAUCCUUUGAUCCGCGGAAGACCACCAGUGGCGAAGGCGGUCCGCCAGAACGCGCUCGACGGUGAGGGAUGAA
rnacentral:rRNA from 1 species